UGGGGAAUUUUGGACAAUGGGGGAAACCCUGAUCCAGCAAUGCCGCGUGUGUGAAGAAGGCCUUCGGGUUGUAAAGCACUUUUAUUCGGAGAGAAAUCCCUUGGGCUAAUACCCUGAGGGUCUGACGGUACCGGAUGAAUAAGCGCCGGCUAACUACGUGCCAGCAGCCGCGGUAAUACGUAGGGCGCGAGCGUUAAUCGGAAUUACUGGGCGUAAAGCGUGCGCAGGCGGUUUUGUAAGACAGAUGUGAAAGCCCCGGGCUUAACCUGGGAAUUGCAUUUGUGACUGCAAGGCUAGAGUGUGUCAGAGGGAGGUGGAAUUCCGCGUGUAGCAGUGAAAUGCGUAGAGAUGCGGAGGAACACCGAUGGCGAAGGCAGCCUCCUGGGAUAACACUGACGCUCAUGCACGAAAGCGUGGGGAGCAAACAGGAUUA
rnacentral:rRNA from 1 species